UUAUAUGUAUAUACACUUCUUCUCAUACACGUAACAUUGUCCUUGCCCUUUAAUUCCGACUGGAAAAUCUCUGCAAAAUUUCCGGGAAAAAUCGAUCGGAAAGCAGGUUUGAAAAUCGGUUUCCAGGCUUUGGCUCUUAUAGUUUCUCUAUUUCCUUUUACCCAGCGAGAAGUCAUUGCUUACACUGUUUUCCUACAGUAAUUCAAAGGAUUCUCAAGGUUUAUUGUGGGAGGCUUUUGGGCAGGAUUUUCUCGGAUGCAAUAUCAUGCUUUGGAAGGAUAGUUGAUUUGUAAAGUCAAACUAAUUUAAUGGCCAAAAACAAUAGGAGCAUAAUCGGAUGUUCUUUAGUCUUCACUUGAUGUGAAGUGUGGAAUAAGUUCUGCACAUCCUUAAUCAAGCAUAGUCUUUUUGCUGAUGCAUUAAGCGGUAUUGAUCAUUAAGCUUGCUGAUGGGAUGGAAGAAGGGGGUUUUGUUUUCAUUUUUUUUUCUUCUCUCUCUUGUCGAGUCUUCAGGCAGAUCAGGUAAAAUGUGGUCUAUUAGCUUGGGUACUGGAUCAACGUUAUUCCACAGCUGGACAAUCUGCAGCGCAAGCAUAUUCGUACUUGUUGCUCUUGUUCUGUCCAUGUAUCUUAUAUUCGAGCAUUUAGCAGCUUACAAUCAGCCUGAGGAGCAAAAAUUCUUGAUUGGACUCAUUCUGAUGGUACCUGUUUAUGCACUGGAAUCGUAUUUGUCACUAUUGGAUUCAAAUGCUGCAUUCAACUGUGAAAUAAUCAGGGACUGUUAUGAAGCGUUUGCAUUAUAUUGCUUUGAAAGAUAUCUGAUAGCCUGCUUAGGUGGUGAGAAAAGGACAAUUGAAUUUAUGGAAAGUCAAAGCCUUACUGCUUCCAGUAUACCUCUUCUGGAAGAGGCUUAUGCUUAUGGAGUUGUGGAACAUCCUUUUCCACUGAAUUGCUUGCUAAGGGAAUGGCAUCUUGGUUCUGACUUCUAUCAAGCUGUAAAAAUUGGCAUUGUUCAAUAUAUGAUACUGAAGAUGAUCUGCGCACUUCUAGCAAUGAUAACUGAAUACGUUGGUGUUUAUGGGGAAGGGAAAUUCGAGUGGAAAUAUGCGUAUCCGUACUUGGCAGUUGUUCUUAAUUUUAGUCAGACCUGGGCCUUAUAUUGCCUCGUACAGUUCUAUUCUGUCACCAAACUUAAAUUGGCACCGAUUAAACCUUUGGCGAAGUUUCUGGUGUUUAAGUCCAUUGUAUUCCUGACAUGGUGGCAAGGUGUGGCUGUUGCAUUUCUUUUCUCAAUGGGAGUCUUUAAAGGGUCUUUGGCGCUGGAGUUGAAGACACGCAUACAAGACUAUAUCAUCUGUAUUGAGAUGGGUAUUGCUGCUGUGGUACACCUUUAUGUUUUCCCAGCAGUACCUUACAAGCGUGGAGAAAGAUGUGUACGCAAUGUUGCCGUGAUGGCUGACUAUGCAUCCUUAGGAACACCUCCAGAUCCAGAGGAGGUUCAAGACUGUGAAAGAUCUACUAAAAUACGGCUUGCUCGGCAUGAUAAUAGAGAGAAGCGUUUAAAUUUCCACCAGAGUGUACGUGAUGUGGUCGUUGGAAGUGGUGAAAUUAUGGUUGAUGACAUGAAAUUCACAGUUUCACAUGUUGUGGAACCAGUUGAAAGGGGAAUUGCGAAAGUAAACAGAACUUUUCAUCAAAUAUCUGAAAAUGUGAAACGGUAUGAGGAGCUGAGAAAGAACUCUAAGGAUGAUAAUUAUCUUAUCCCCUUGAAUUCAUGGUCAAAGGAAUUUUCUGAAGUGCACGAUAACCUUAUUGAAGGGAGCGUCAGCGACAGUGGUUUGCCUGAUGGGAAGAGACCACAGUACCAAUCCAAAGCAACACCAUAUCAGUUUAGAUACAGUUGAUUUCACAUUCAUUCAUUGAAAAGGAAGAUUCUAAUGAGAUUGUGAAUUUGUGAUGUCCAUACGAUGCCAAUAUACUUGGUGAGGUUCCUGGGAGACCAAAAAUAUCAUGAUGCUUUGUUACUGUGGAAAUAUUUGGAGAAUUUUUAAAGAGCACUAACUACUACCAUUAGUGGAAGUUGAUCAAAGAAUUUGCUGCAGAGCCAAUGACAGUACAAAAAUAUUAGUUGUUUAAACAGGCACUUGUUUUGACAAAUAUACAUAUGAUAGAAUUGGAGAAGCGAACAUUUCAUCUGUAAAGUUAAAGUACAUACAUAUUAUGGCUAUUAAGUUUAUCUUA